rnacentral:lncRNA from 1 species
GUUUUUCUCAUACUUUAUGCAAUAGGUUUACUAUAUUUGUUGUAUGGAAUGAUUGUAAGGUGUACAUGUCUAGCGGGCAGAUGUCAUCUGACCUUGACCUCAUUUUUCAUGGUUCAGUGGUUAUAGUUAAGUUUUGUGUUUUGGUCUGUUUUUCUCAUACUUUAUGCAAUAGGUUUACUAUAUUUGUUGUAUGGAAUGAUUGUAAGGUGUACAUGUCUAGCGGGCAGAUGUCAUCUGACCUUGACCUCAUUUUCAUGGUUCAGUGGUCAAAGUUAAGUUUUUGAGUUUUGGUCUUUUUAUCUAAUACUAUAUGUCAUAGGUCAACUAUAUUUGGUGUAUGGAAAUAUUUUAUGAUCUAUAUGUCAGUCGUGCAGGUUUUAUUUGCCCUUGACCUGGUUUUCACGGUUCAUUGCUCAGUGUUAAGUUUUUGAGUUUUGGUCUAUUUU